AGCAGCCGCGGUAAUUCCAGCUCCAAUAGCGUAUAUUAAAGUUGUUGCAGUUAAAAAGCUCGUAGUUGAAUUUCGGGGUUCUACCGUUGGUCGGGCUUUGUCUGUACUGGCGUGUAGAAUUUCUACCUUCUGGGGAACCAUCAUGUUAUUAAUUUAACGUGGUGGGAAACCAGGACCUUUACCUUGAAAAAAUUAGAGUGUUCAAAGCAGGCUUAUGUCUGAAUACAUUAGCAUGGAAUAAUAAAAUAGGACGGUGGUCCUGUUUUGUUGGUUUCUGAAUCACCGUAAUGAUUAAUAGGGAUAGUUGGGGGCAUUAGUAUUCAAUUGUCAGAGGUGAAAUUCUUGGAUUUAUUGAAGAC
rnacentral:sRNA from 1 species